rnacentral:rRNA from 1 species
AUGACAACAGUGGAUCUCAACAAUCUUGCGUAUGCAGACGAACCAUUCGUCCUAGCCAAUGAUGUGGCACAGGUUUUCUAUGUGAAGGACAUGUCUACCAAGCCAAGAAAAAGAAAAGAUAAGGAAGCGAAUGCAUCAUACGAUGAGCCAAAGCGGCACAUAGUUCUUUCUGGGAAGAAAAACAUCGUGGGAGUGGAUGACAAGACAGACAAGUCAGAAGAUUAUGAAAAGUUUGAUGAAAUUGCUCCAUUCACAGUGAAUAUUGACCCGAGCAUCCCGUUAAAUGAUGAAGAUUUUCCAUGGUUACGACGCAAAGGGACACACGCGAAGAAAAAGUUUCACACCCAAAGAUCUGGGAUGUGA